UGGGGAAAGGGGUUAAAAUAUGAGUUUAAUGUGCUAUGGUAUAACAUUGUUGAGUUAGUUUGAUUUAGAAUUAUUCAACGCGAUCUAUUAGUGUUUCAAUGUGAUUUUGGAUGACUAAGCGAGAAUUAUGUUACUUGUCUGGGGGAAAGGGUUUAAUUAUGUGUAGAGGUUUUGGAGACACUUGGCCUUAAAAGAAAGGCAACCGCCACUCUUCAAAGAGGGGGGGGGGGGGGGGGGGGGGGGGGGGGGGGGCUGGAACGGUGCUAGCUGCCACACUCCAUUUUUGGCUUCUCUUUGUUUAGUUUUUCUGAAACGCUGUUACAGGAACGAAGACGCUGCCCUUUUCAUUUUGGGUUUUAUGCACUUCUGUUUCAAGCAUUUUAUUGUACGUUUUUACUUAUAUCAUUGAAUGAAAAUGGUGGGUGGAUAUCGUUGGUGAUGCAGUGCUGAUGGUGGAGUAUCAAGGCUGGAAUGAAAAACGUUGUUGGAAGAAAGAGGUGGUGGUCAGUGAAUUAUGCAGAUCUGAAUUUUUCUUUAAGAAGGUUGGGAGUGGUUGAAAGAGAGAAGAAUGGAAGGAGGAAGAAAGAAGAGGAAAAUGGUGUGGGAGGAAGAGAGUGACAUGUUGAAAUCAUUUAGACACGUCAGCCCACCACCUGUGCACAAAGUUAACUCUGUUAACGAAAUUUGACGGCAGGGGCUCAAUUGGUUGAAAUUAGCAGUUAAAAGGACUCAAUUGGAAAAAUUUAAAAGAAGGAGACCAAAUUGGGAAUACCUAACAUAAAUAGAGACGCCUAAAUGGUUUAAACUUUUUUUUUUUUAUAAUGAAGUUGUAUUCUUGUAGCGUGACUGCAAUAUAUUUUUUAAAUUCGACUAUUUUAAAACAAUUUAAAAAAAGUUGAGUGAAAUCACCUUAAGAAACUUAACUAUAAAUUUAAACUAUAC
rnacentral:lncRNA from 1 species